ensembl:lncRNA
UUGAAGGCAGCCGGGAACGGUGAGAGCAGGGAGAUUUGCAAAGCAAACAGCGAUCAAACAAAAAGGCUUUGGUUACUGUUCUCGAGGCUGUUUGCCAAGACACACAGAUCAUAUCGGGCUCAUUUAUAGAAGGAAAACCAACGUAAUUAGCGCUCAGGAAAACACUUUAAUGAAAAGAGUGAUCGUGUAAAAAGUGAUGGGCCGCUGCCCGGUGCUGCAGGAGGACCCAGAGCCGUGCUGCUGCUGCACGUCCCACCUCAACAUGGUCACACCGCUGUGCUGCAUGCACUGCAGCAGGCAGUAACCAUGGCAGCAGAGAGAUCUGCACGUGAUAUCAGCAUUUCUGCAGUACAAAGGAGCCUCUUAUCUGGGCUGAGCCAAUCGUCAGGCUGCUCCUCAUUCCUCCACCUUGUGCUAGGGCAGAGCUGUGCCAUGCCACGCCAUCCUAUGCCAUCCCAUGUUGUGCCAUGCCAUGCUACGCCAUAUUGUGCCAUGCUGUGCCUUGCCAUCCUGCGCCAUCCCAUGUCAUGCCAUCCUACGUCAUCCCAUGCCAUCAUAUGUCAUCCCAUGCCAGGCCAUCCCAUGCUAUACCAUCUUAUGCUAUGCCAUCCUAUGCCAUUCCAUGUCAUGCCAUCCCACCCCAUGCUAUGCCAUACCAUCUUAUGCCAUUCCAUGCCAUCCCAUCCUAUGCCAUUCCAUGCCAUCCUAUGCCAUGCCAUGCCAUUCCAUCCCAUGCUAUGCCAUCCUAUGUCAUGUCAUUCUAUUCCAUGCCAUCUUAUGCCAUCCUAUGUCAUGCCAUUCCAUGUCAUGCCAUCGUAUGUCAUGCCAUGCCAUUCCAUCCUAUGCUAUGCCAAGCCAUCCUAUGCCAUCCCAUGUCAUGCUGUGCUGUGCCAUGUGGUCCCAGCAGGUCCCAGCCAGGGCUGGCAAUAUGUCCCUGUGCAACAGUCCCUCUACUCCAUCUAUCACUCUUUUCUGGUUGUUUUUGCCCUACCUGCCACUGAAUCAUAGUGGUUGGAAAAGACCUCUGAGCUCCCCCAGUCUGACCCCCACCCCCACCCCAAUGCCCACUGACCACAUCCCUUUGACUUCCAGCUCUUCACGUGCAUGAAGUAACCUCCACAGGGGGAAAACCGUGUGAAAUAAGAACAUGAAUAUCUCAUUCUUCCGAUGACUCAAAGCCAUCUUGCUGGAUGUUGCUCAGAUCUCCCCGAGGCACUGGAAAUGAACUACGCUU